GGUUCCGUAGCUUAACUGAAUAGAGCACCUGACUACGGAUCAGGAGGUUAUAGGUUUGAAUCCUAUCGGAAUCA
rnacentral:tRNA from 1 species